GGAGAGAUGGCCGAGUGGUCGAAGGCGCAGCACUGGAAAUGCUGUGUGGGGCAACUCACCGUGGGUUCGAAUCCCACUCUCUCCGUCA
rnacentral:tRNA from 7 species